rnacentral:rRNA from 1 species
AUGAGUAGAGGGAACCAGCGAACCUUAGGCCGAACUGAACAGCAGAGGAACAAACGAGAAUACAGCAUUUCAAAGCUUACGCAUGCUAAGUUCAAAAAAAGCUUACGCAUGCUCUCCCCCGCCGCCGCCGUUGUAGCCGCCGUCCGCGCCGCGGGCGGGUCACCGACGGCCGUACGCCGCGCCCACGCGCGUCUCCUCAAGGAUGGCCUGGCGCUGCACCCUCCCGCGCCGUCCCUUCUCGUCUCCGCCUACGCCAAGUGCCGUCUCCUCCCCGACGCCCGCAGGGUGUUCGACGAAAGCCCGCGCCGGGACCUCCACCUCUACUCGUCGCUCCUCACCGCCGUCUCCAACUCCGAUGCUCCUUACCUCGUGCUCCCGAUCAUACGUCGCAUGCUCUCUGCUGACGUCCUCCAGCCCGACCACUUCGUCCUCGCCUCCAUCGCCAGCGCCUCCGCCAGGUUGCGAAGCCUCAGUCUUGGUAAGCAGCUCCAUGGACACUUCGUUGCUUCCCCGUAUAGCGGAGACGAUGUCGUCAAGUCUUCUCUGAUCGAUAUGUACUGUAAAUGUGGUUUUCCGGAUGAUGCCAGGAAGGUCUUUGAUAGUAUGAGUGCCAAGAACAACGUCGUGUGGACUGCACUUGUUUCUGGGUACGCGUCGAACGGCUAUACUGAUGAGGCGCUGGAGCUCUUCCGGAGCAUGCCUGGACGCGGCCUCUUUGCAUGGACUGCGCUCGUAUCAGGAUUUGUAAGAGCUGGCGAGAGUGUUAGCGCGGUGGAGCUGUUUGUUGAGAUGAGGCGGGAUGCCAUCACUAUUGAUGAUGCAUUUGUGUUGUCAGCUGUAACUGGUGGGGCUGCUGACCUGGCUGCGCUUGUUCUGGGUAGGCAGUUGCAUGGUUUGUCCAUGAGGCUUGGGUUCUUGUCCAGCAUGAUGGUUGGGAAUGCAUUGGUUGACAUGUACUCCAAAUGUAGCGAUAUACACUCCGCUAGAGAAGUAUUUGAAGAGAUUACAGUGCGUGAUAUCAUCUCGUGGACGACAAUGAUUGUUGGAGAGGCUCAGCAUGGUCGAGCAGGGGAGGCUUUUGCUCUUUAUGACCGGAUGAUUCUUUCAGGAGUGAAGCCCAAUGAGGUGACAUUUGUUGGGUUGAUCUACGCAUGUAGCCACGCUGGUCUUGUUCAGAAAGGUCGGCAACUGUUUGACUCAGUGAAGCGGGAGUAUGACAUCAACCCUGGAUUACAACUCUAUACAUGCUACCUAGAUCUUCUUAGUCGCUCGGGCCAUUUAUCAGAAGCUGAAGAACUCAUCACUACGAUGCCAUAUGAGCCAGAUGAAGCUGCUUGGGGGGCCCUCUUGAGCGCGUGCAAGAAACACAACGAUGCUGAAAUGUGUGUCAGGGUUGCUGAUAAUCUGUUAGAGCUGGGACCAAAAUAUCCUUCAACAUGUGUCUUGUUAUCUAAUGUCUAUGCAGUGAAUGGCAAAUGGGGGUCUGUGAGCACGGUGAGAAAACUCAUGGCUAAUAUGAAGAUAAAUAAAGAGCCUGGGUAUAGCUGGGUUGAAGUUGGAAGAGAAUCUCGUCUGUUUCAUGCUGGGGAAGUGCCGGUUGAUAUGAGAGAAGAAAUUCUAGUUUUUCUCGAGGAAUUAGUCUCGGAGAUGCGCCGAAGGGGCUAUGUCCCUGAUACCAGUUCUGUGAUGCAUGAUCUGGAGGAGCAUGAAAAGGAGCACCAUCUUUUCUUGCACAGUGAGAGGCUGGCUGUUGCCUUUGGAAUCCUCAAGUCUCUUCCGGGGUCGGUGAUCCGGGUGGUGAAGAACCUCCGGGUCUGUGGGGACUGCCAUACAGUGAUGAAGUUAAUUAGUGAAAUUUUCCAGAGGAAGAUUAUUGUGAGAGACGCUACUCGUUUCCACCAUUUUGAAGUUGGGAAGUGCUCUUGUGGUGAAUUCUGGUAG